UACGGAGGGUGCAAGCGUUAAUCGGAAUUACUGGGCGUAAAGCGUGCGCAGGCGGUUUGUUAAGUCUGCUGUGAAAUCCCCGAGCUCAACUUGGGAAUUGCAAUGGAUACUGGUAGGCUGGAGUAUGGUAGAGGAAGGUGGAAUUCCCGGUGUAGCAGUGAAAUGCGUAGAGAUCGGGAGGAACACCAGUGGCGAAGGCGGCCUUCUGGACCAAUACUGACGCUGAGGAGCGAAAGCGUGGGGAGCGAACAGG
rnacentral:rRNA from 1 species